rnacentral:tRNA from 1 species
UUAAUUGAAACCAAAAAGAGGUAUAUCACUGUUAAUGAUAAAAUUGAGGCAGCUCCAAUUAAA